UACGUAGGUGACCAGCGUUGUCCGGAUUUACUGGGCGUAAAGAGCGCGCAGGCGGUCGUUCAAGUCGAGUGUGAAAGCCCCCGGCUCAACUGGGGAGGGUCAUUCGAUACUGAUCGACUCGAAGGCAGGAGAGGGUAGUGGAAUUCCCGGUGUAGUGGUGAAAUGCGUAGAUAUCGGGAGGAACACCAGUGGCGAAGGCGACUACCUGGCCUGUUCUUGACGCUGAGGAGCGAAAGCGUGGGGAGCGAACAGG
rnacentral:rRNA from 1 species